UACGUAGGGGGCUAGCGUUGUCCGGAAUCAUUGGGCGUAAAGCGCGCGUAGGCGGCCCGGUAAGUCCGCUGUGAAAGUCCAGGGCUCAACCCUGGAAAGCCGGUGGAUACUGCCGGGCUAGAGUCCGGAAGAGGCGAGUGGAAUUCCUGGUGUAGCGGUGGAAUGCGUAGAUAUCGUAAGGAAGACCAGUGGCGAAGGCGGGUCUCUGGACAGUUCCUGACACUGAGACACGAAGGCCAGGGGAGCAAACGGG
rnacentral:rRNA from 1 species